GGAGAGGUGGCCGAGUGGUCGAUGGCGACAGUCUUGAAAACUGUUAAUCCCGCAAGGGGUUCGUGGGUUCGAAUCCCACCCUCUCCGCCA
rnacentral:tRNA from 1 species